AACGAACGCUGGCGGCAUGCCUAACACAUGCAAGUCGAACGAGACCUUCGGGUCUAGUGGCGCACGGGUGCGUAACGCGUGGGAACCUGCCCUUAGGUUCGGAAUAACUCCCCGAAAGGGGUGCUAAUACCGGAUAAUGUCUUCGGACCAAAGAUUUAUCGCCCUUGGAUGGGCCCGCGUUGGAUUAGCUAGUUGGUAGGGUAAAAGCCUACCAAGGCGACGAUCCAUAGCUGGUCUGAGAGGAUGAUCAGCCACACUGAGACUGGGACACGGCCCAGACUCCUGCGGGAGGCAGGAGUGGGGAAUAUAGGACAAUGGGCGGAAGCCUGAUCCAGCUAUGCCGCGUGAGUGAUGAAGGCCUUAGGGUUGUAAAGCUCUUUUACCCGGGAUGAUAAUGACAGUACCGGGAGAAUAAGCUCCGGCUAACUCCGUG
rnacentral:rRNA from 1 species